UGCCUUAGUAACUGCGAGUGAAGCGGCAAAAGCUCAAAUUUGAAAUCUGGGGCCCCACAGCCUCCGAAUUGUAAUUUCGCGAUACGUUUUCGACUGAAGGCUCUGCUUUAAGUUCCUUGGAACAGGACGUCACAGAGGGUGAGAAUCCCGUGAUAGGUGGAGCCUGAUGCAUAUGAUACGUAUUCAACGAGUCGAGUUGUUUGGGAAUGCAGCUCAAAAUGGGUGGUAAAUUUCAUCUAAAGCUAAAUAUUGGCGAGAGACCGAUAGCGCACAAGUAGAGUGAUCGAAAGAUGAAAAGCACUUUGAAAAGAGAGUUAAAAAGUACGUGAAAUUGUUGAAAGGGAAGCGCUUGAGACCAGACUCAAUCUGUGGUGAUCAACUUGGCUUCUGUCAGGUGCACUUGCCACUUAUUGGGACAGCAUCGGUUUUGGCGGUGGGAUAAAGUCUUGAGGAAUGUAGCUAUCCUCGGGUAGUGUUAUAGCCUCUUGAGUAAUGCCACCAGCCGGGACCGAGGACCGCGCUUCGGCUAGGAUGCUGUCAUAAUGGUCUUCAGCGACCCGUCUUGAAACACGGACCAAGGAGUCUAACAUCUAUGCGAGUGUUCGGGUGGAAAACCCUUGCGCGUAAUGAAAGUGAACGGAGGUGGGAACCUUAGGGUGCACCAUCGACCGAUCCUGAUGUCUUCGGAAGGAUUUGAGUAUGAGCAUAGCUGUUGGGACCCGAAAGAUGGUGAACUAUGCCUGAAUAGGGUGAAGCCAGAGGAAACUCUGGUGGAGGCUCGCAGCGGUUCUGACGUGCAAAUCGAUCGUCAAAUUUGGGUAUAGGGGCGAAAGA
rnacentral:rRNA from 1 species